rnacentral:snoRNA from 10 species
AGUCCACACUCAGUAGCAGAUGAUCCAAAGUGUCUGGUGCAUUUGCAACAGCAAGGCAGUCUAACCUAUUCCGGUGCUCUCUUCUCCAUGAGACAAGCUGUUAUAUAGACUUCAACAGC